UGUGGGGCGGCAAUGGCGGCGUUCAGGCCCGGCUCUGGCGGCGGCAGCAGAGCCCGUGAGGAAGCGGCACGGGAGCUGGGCCCGGGGCAGCCCGGAAGCCGCCGGCAGCCCACGGGCGGCGGAGGGGUCCGGCAGGCUCCGUUCAGGCCAUGUGUGAUGAAAGAGAGAGGGCGGGCGUCUGGCGAUGGUGCCUUGUUGUGGUGCCGUGCGCCUUGGAAACCCUGCCUGGGUUGGGAUUAGCCGUGCUGUGGGUGCCGGCUCGUUUCGGCUUCCUGGCUGCUUGUUAACCAUUUUUUCCCUUCUGGAUUUGUAUAUAUUCCUUGGCCGGCGUGCCCACUCUUGUUUGUGCUGCCUUUUGCUAAUACAACGAUGGCGCUCUUUAGUUUGGGCUUUAGAUAAGUGUAUGAGGCUUUUCUUCCUUCAUUAUUGUUUGUUGUGUUGGUGCUCAGCUGAUGGCCUCAGAGCAGGGAAAAGAAGUAAACGAAGCUAGCUGUGGUCUUUUUCCUUUUCAGGAGUCACUUAAUAAAAUGGAUGGCAUAACCCAAGCAGUAAGGAAGAGAAUCAUCUCUUUGUGGGGUUGCUCAGGAACCUGCUUCUAAUGUUGUGAAGGUUUGAUGCCCUAAAGGAGCCGUAGAGUUGGUGUGGACUGGUGGAUUGGUGCAGAGGCAAAAUCAUUAUGUUCUAAUCAUGUUUCAUUGAAGACAAGGAAAAAAAAUCCAGCUUUGGGCAAAAUAUCCAUAUCUCUGGUGGCAGAGAUCCAGGAGGUAGCCAAGUCUGCUGCAGGUUAGAAUUCAGAUUCAGAUGGAAGCACUUGACUCCCAAAGCUGCGUCCUCAACCAGCAGCUAGGAGAUGCACAAUAGAAUUGGCAGAAUUGCACUGCUCUAAGCACUUUUGGAGACAUAUGCUGCUUUUCCCACUCCUGGAAGCAGUCCCACAGAUGUCUCAUGAUUAUUCACUUGACUCAUGGCUUCAGCGUUGACUUUUUGGUGGGUUGGAUUCCCAGAUUGCUACACCGCGCUUUUAACAGAAGAGCAAACUCCGACUGCAGACCUGCCCACCUGCAAACAGGGAGGAUGCGUUUAACCAAAACCCAACGCUUCGAACGCAAACUUGGAACGCCGUUUGGUGGAAACGACACCUCCCCGAGGAGGAAGAGCCGCCGAGCGCCCGGCGCGGCUGUCGGUGUCGGUGUCGGUGUCGGUGUCGGUGUUGGUGUCGGUGUCGGUGUCGGUGUCGCUCCGUGGGGAUAUUCCCGCUGCGCGGGGCACCAGGUGGCGCUGGCCGCGGCUCCCGCCGCCCGGCCUGCCUUGGUUUUGGGAAGGAGCGUGGCAUUCAUAGAGCUGGACAGCAGCAUCGCUGGUUUCUGGGGCCGGGGCGAAUUUCUAGAGCGAAGUCGCUCCGGGGAGUCUGGGUGGUGUUUUCUUGGCGGAGGUUGCUGGAGCGGGGCAUCGCCUGUGUGCCAUUGAUGAGCGGCUCUGCUGCCAGGCUCGUGUGCUCGCUGAGAAACGUGGGAGCUCUGAGCCCGUGCCUAACUCUGUGCUGCUUUAAUUUCUAGUGUAUCAACAGAAUAAUGGCUUUUUACCUCGCCCCCCCGGUGUGCUCCUGCUGUUAAAUGAAUUAUUAUUACAUGCUGCACCAUGAACAAAUAUUAGACAGCCUGAGGAAAAAAACUUUACUUGCUUACUUUACUUACUUACUUAACAACCCGAGAAAAACUUUAAUUUGCCUUAAAAGUUCUUUUAAAUGUUGCUGGAAAGGAGUUAUUGUUACACAGCUUCAACAAUAGAUUAUUCUAAAUCUAUUCCAAAACCCAUACAAAAAUGGAAUCUCAGAUUUUACUUACACUAUCAAUCUGCACUGAGUUAUCACAAGUGUAGAAAAAUAAGGAAGUUGCUAUCUGGGCUAGUUAGUUGAAACAAAACAAGAAGAUGAAUUGCAUCACUAGUAAGAGUUCUUUUGUCAUCUGAUUUUCCAGAAAGCAUUUUUAAUUUUACAGUAAAAUCUUGAAAACAAAUUUCUUCAGAAUGAUGUCCCUUUGCUUCAUAGGAUUUUCAAAUACAAUUCCCAUUCUCAGCUAGCUUGGUGGUAGGAGCCAUCUACUUGCUCCAGAUGCAAAGCAAAAUUUGCUUUAAUUUUGCUUUAAAAAUUCCAUCAGUUUGGUUUUUGGGUUUUUUUUUUGUUUGGUUUGGUUUUUUGUUUUGUUUUGUUUGUUUUGUUUUAUUUUUAACGGAAAAGAAAAACAAAUUCUGUCCAUUACAGUCCAUUACAGAGUUUGGAAUAUUACAUGCAACCUGCAAAUAGAGAUUUAAAGAUUCAUUGGACACUGGAGAUGGUAGAAAAAGGAUAAACAUUUCUUAGUGCUUUCUCUAAAUUUUCCACAAAGCUUCUCGAACAUUUGAAUCAACUGACUCUAAGUCGGUUCAGUUUUCAGGCAAGGAAAGUUGUUUUCUUUUUUCCUGGCUGGUAGUGUUUUUACAAGAGGUGAGGACAAAAUCAGGCAGAUGGAAGGGGAAAAAAAGUGUGAAGAAUUGUAAGAUCAAAAUCUUUACAACUGCAUUAUUGGUUUGGAAAAAUGAAGACAUUAGUUGGGUAGCUUCUGAGUCUAAAUUACUGAAUGUUUUGAAAAUGCCAUUUUAGUUUUUAAAAUUGCUGCAUUUAUUCAAAGACUGCUGAGAAUGAAGAGUAUUGAUAAGCUCUACUAAGCAUUUUCAUAUGGAAUCUAUUUUCAGCCACAUACCAGAAAAUGUCUUUGUUAUUUUUUUGAAUGAGACCCUAAUCUCAGAAUGACUUUUCAUUUAUCAGAGCCUUUUAAGUCUGCUAUUGUGUUUCCAGUCAGAUCCUUUCCACUCACUUCUUUUUUCCUGUGUCAGCCUCUUACAAACUUGCAAUAGGGCAAAGUUCACAGUUAUUUUCCACAGGCACAAGGAUUUCCCCUCUCAGGGGUGCACUUGGGCUUUAUGCAGUGGAAGCCGAGCACAAAUUAAUGCCAGCUCUAAUAGUUUGUGAUAAAGUUUCUUGUGGUAUAUCAUACUUAAUAGCAGACCCUACAGUUUGUGAUUUAACUUGUUAGCAAUUCAAAGGCUUUUGUUUCUUAUGCUGUUCAGUCAGAUGAAAUGGCUUAGUGGUUUUUUGCAUCACCAGCAUUGGCAUUUGUGUCUGUUGGUGUUCUUAUUUAGCGUUGUGUUGGUUCCCACUUCAGCUAUAAUUUAGUAAUGUUCAAAUACCACUUUCUAGGAAAAAAAAAGUAAGUUCUGGCAUCUGCAGUUGAGAAGUUGGAAAACGUGAGUGGUGAAUGCCAAAAAAAUCCCCAAAGAAAUAUAACUGACUCCUCUUAAAAUUCCAUU